CCUACGGGAGGCAGCAGUGAGGAAUAUUGGUCAAUGGCCGGAAGGCUGAACCAGCCAAGCCGCGGGAAGGGCGGAGGUGCCAAGCAUUGUAAACUUCUUUUGGCAAGGGACAAAAUCAGGCUCGAGAGCCUGACCGAGGGUACUUGAAGAAAAAGCAUCGGCUAACUCCGUGCCAGCAGCCGCGGGAAUACGGAGGAUGCGAGCGGUGUCCGGAUUUAUUGGGUUUAAAGGGUGCGUAGGCGGACUGUUAAGUCAGCGGUAAAAGCCCGGGGCUCAACCCCGGCGCGCGGUUGAAACUGG
rnacentral:rRNA from 1 species